rnacentral:rRNA from 1 species
AUUGAACGCUGGCGGCAGGCUUAACACAUGCAAGUCGAGCGAGCGGCGGACGGGUGAGUAGUGUCUGGGAAACUGCGUGAUGGAGGGGGCUAACUACUGGAAACGGUAGCUAAUACCGCAUACCAUCAGAUGUGCCCAGAUGGGAUUAUCUAGUAGGUGGGGUAAUGGCUCACCUAGGCGACGCGCCCUAGCUGGUCUGGGAGGAUGACCAGCGACACUGGACAUGAGACACGUUCCAGACUCCUACGGGAGGCAGCAGUGGGGAAUAUUGCACAAUGGGCGCAAGCCUGAUGCAGCCAUGCCGCGUGUAUGAAGAAGGCCUUCGGGUCGUAAAGUACUUUCAGCGGGGAGGCGUUACCCGCAGAAGAAGCACCGGCUAACUCCGUGCCAGCAGCCGCGGUAAUAC